rnacentral:rRNA from 1 species
GACGAACGCUGGCGGCGUGCUUAACACAUGCAAGUCGAGCGGAAAGGCUCCUUCGGGGGUACUCGAGCGGCGAACGGGUGAGUAACACGUGAGUAAUCUGCCCUGCGCUCUGGGAUAGCCACCGGAAACGGUGAUUAAUACCGGAUAUGACCGCUACACGCAUGGGUUGGUGGGGGAAAGUUUUUCGGCGCAGGAUGUGCUCGCGGCCUAUCAGCUUGUUGGUGAGGUAAUGGCUCACCAAGGCUUUGACGGGUAGCCGGCCUGAGAGGGUGACCGGUCACACUGGGACUGAGACACGGCCCAGACUCCUACGGGAGGCAGCAGUGGGGAAUAUUGGACAAUGGGCGGAAGCCUGAUCCAGCAACGCCGCGUGAGGGAUGACGGCCUUCGGGUUGUAAACCUCUUUCAGUACCGACGAAGCGAAAGUGACGGUAGGUACAGAAGAAGGACCGGCCAACUACGUGCCAGCAGCCGCGGUAAAAC